rnacentral:rRNA from 1 species
UACGUAGGGUGCAAGCGUUAAUCGGAAUUACUGGGCGUAAAGCGUGCGCAGGCGGUGAUGUAAGACAGAUGUGAAAUCCCCGGGCUCAACCUGGGAACUGCAUUUGUGACUGGCAGGCUUUGAGUGUGGCAGAGGGAGGUAGAAUUCCACGUGUAGCAGUGAAAUGCGUAGAGAUGUGGAGGAAUACCGAUGGCGAAGGCAGCCUCCUGGGCCAACACUGACGCUCAUGCACGAAAGCGUGGGGAGCAAACAGG